GGAGCCGUUCUGCCUUCCUCUGUGGAGAGGGAAGAGCUGCGCAGGCUGAGGACCCCUCUUCCCAGCCUCCUCUUCUCUCCCCAGGGAAAAGCGGGCUCCUUAGCUGGCUGGGAAGUGAUGGCUGCUUCACUUCUUUGUAGGCACUCUUAGUGAAUGGCUCUAAGUCAGACCUAGCACCCAGCACCAGCUUCAUGUGGAGCUUGUUGGAAACGCAGAUUCUUGGGGCAAACCUCAGAGUUACCAGACCAGAGUUGCAUGGGAUGGAGGGAUGUCUACAAUAAGUAGGCCCUUCAGGUCUCACUAAAAAGCAGCAAAUUGGGAAUGAUUCUGAUUUAAUGUUCUACAUCGGUCACUUUGCAUUUCUGUAUUCCCUGGAUACUAACUUUUGACAAGGUGCUCCUCAGUGAGAUCCGCUCAAACUCAAGAUCAUUAAAUCAAGUUUGGGUUUCCUCAAGAAAUCUCAAAGAUCUCUCUACCACAAGCACACUGUUUGCUUCUGCAGCCAAUCAGAAGGCACGUAAUACAGUCAGCCACACGGCUGUCUGCUCAUCAUCGAGCAAUCAUGCACGGAAACAGUAAGCCCUGAGCAUCAUGGCCAACACUUCAUCAAAGCUUCAGGAACCCAACUUCUUUCAGGAGUAAAAGGAUGAGGGUGUGGUCAGUGGUCGAGCACUAGCCUGGUCUAUAUGUAUGAGAUCCUAGAUAUGACGACCCCCAACAAGCCCCUCUUCAAAUAAUAUUAAACAAAACUCCCAGCCCUC